rnacentral:rRNA from 1 species
AGUUUGACUGGGGCGGUCUCCUCCCAAAGAGUAACGGAGGAGCACGAAGGUGGGCUAAUCACGGUUGGACAUCGUGAGGUUAGUGCAAUGGCAUAAGCCCGCUUAACUGCGAGAAUGACGGUUCGAGCAGGUGCGAAAGCAGGUCAUAGUGAUCCGGUGGUUCUGUAUGGAAGGGCCAUCGCUCAACGGAUAAAAGGUACUCCGGGGAUAACAGGCUGAUACCGCCCAAGAGUUCAUAUCGACGGCGGUGUUUGGCACCUCGAUGUCGGCUCAUCACAUCCUGGGGCUGAAGUCGGUCCCAAGGGUAUGGCUGUUCGCCAUUUAAAGUGGUACGCGAGCUGGGUUUAGAACGUCGUGAGACAGUUCGGUCCCUAUCUGCCGUGGGCGUUGGAAGAUUGAAGGGGGCUGCUCCUAGUACGAGAGGACCGGAGUGGACGAACCUCUGGUGUUCGGGUUGUGUCGCCAGACGCAUUGCCCGGUAGCUAAGUUCGGAAUUGAUAAGCGCUGAAAGCAUCUAAGCGCGAAGCGAGCCCUGAGAUGAGUCUUCCCUGAUACUUUAAGUAUCCUAAAGGGUUGUUCGAGACUAGAACGUUGAUAGGCAGGGUGUGUAAGCGUUGUGAGGCGUUGAG